UAGGCAAGUCAGAAUGGUGGAGAAAUGUGCUUUUUCAUCUCAAUGUGCUAAUGAUAAAGUUUAAAUGAUGUCAGUAAUCUUACUUAAUUUGAUUUUCAGCUGUAUUUAGCUUUGGUAUAUCCGCUUAAUUUGUUUUUUUAAACGUUUAAUUACGUAAUGUCACAAUGGGGCAUAAGCUGACACAUUUUUAUAGAAAUUAUAUGAUAUUAUGUAAACCGUUAGCAUAAUAUAAACUAUAUAUUUGCUACUGUUCAGCUCACGAAAGACUGAAUGUGUCCAACGGCAUUAAUUAAUCAAAUAAAUUAGAUGAAUUAGUCGAACACCGCCAUUGCAUCUUUAUAGAAGCCAUGUAGAUGGUGCUGUGGGAUUAGCGUUAAUUUAGCUCAACACUGCGCGACGAAGAAACCAAUGGGGAAGGCGGAACAUCUCAUUUAAAAACAGCCGCAUCUUUGUUUUCGUUAAUUUAACCAUAUGCAGUUAUUACGGUACCACAAACAACUAUUUUAUGUUAUUGUUGUUAGACAUGCACAGUUAGUUGGCCUGAUCAGAGCGGUACAUUAACAAGCUUCUCCUGUGCAGUCAAAUCAGUCCCUGACUUCAUCCUUUGACUCCAGUGACUCGCAGGAUACACUCAUUAUUGAAGAAAGGUCUUCCAGUAAACAAAAAAGACUUAAUGAUAGAGCUAAAAGUACAUCACCACCAAGAAAGGUGAACGAAAACUAUGCCAGAGGAAUUGUGCCUUUGUUCCCAUGCCUCAGUGUCCCUUUCUUCAAAAAUGGCUAUGCCAGAAGAGACCAGGAAAUGUGUCUACAUCUCAAGUAGGGAUACCUUCUAGAAGAGUGGAACAAGCAUUGAGCAUCUUCAAGACAUCGCUGGAAGUGCUCAGCCCUGGGAAGAAUUAUUCAUUUCAACAGUACUUCAAUUUUGAUCAGCAUGCCAUUCCAUGCAAGUCAGUCUCUUCUCUUGAUGCCUUUGACGAAAUGUUUAAUGGGGUUAAUUUACCCAAAAAUGAAAAUUGUCAUUUACUCACCCUCAUUUCAUUCCAAACCUAAGACUUUCAUUCAUCUUCAAAACACCAAUGAAGACAUUUUAAUGAAAUCUGAGAGAUUUCUUUCCCUACAUUUACAGUCCACACAACUAGCACAUUCAAGGCCCAGAAAGGUAGUAAUGACAUUCAUUAAAGUAAUCCAUGUGACUCCACUGGCUUAACCUCAAUUUUAUGCAUGCAUUCACACAACAUCUGCUUUCAUUUCAACAAAACACUCAUCCGUCAUUGUGCUCUCGUGUACGAUUGUCAGGAAUUUAUAUUGUCAUAAAGUGCUAAAUUAUUAUUAUUUCUUUGCGCAAACAAAGCACUGGUGUUGCUUAAUAAAACUGAAGUUAAAUCACCAGAGUCACACAUGUUAAUUUAAUGAUGUCUUUAACACCAUUCUAGGCCUUGAAAGUUGUAGUUGUAUAGGCUGUCAAUAAAUGGAUAAAAGUCUGCCAGAUUUCAUUAUGAAUAUCUUCAUUUGUGUUCCGAAAAUGAAUAAAAGUCUUAUAGGUUUGGAAUGAAAUAAGGGUGUGUAAUUAAUGACAAUUCUAUUUUUUGGUGAACAGACUUAAGGCACACCAAUUUUGGCACCAUUUAUAACACUAUUCUACACAAGAUGUACACUUUUAUUCAGACCACUGUGUACAAAAAAGAUGUUAGCAAAGUAAAGGUCGUUGUAUUGCUGAGGUUAGAGCAAGGCUACUUAGCUAGUAGGUUCAACAGGUUCUGUACUGAAUAUAGUGAUGUAUUGUCAUUUCAUGCAGACGUGAUGUAUUUUUGUGCAUGUAUGUGUAUGUUUCUUGAGCCUGACAACAUUUUUUAAUAAAUGUUUUAAAUGUGACGUCGUUGAUCUUGUUUUCCCACCAAAUGGGUUUUAAAAUUAGAUAAUUUUUCACUAUUAUAAAUGUAAAUUAACUCUACAUAAGUGAAAUAUUAACACUAAUCAGAGUAAAUUUAAGUUAAAUUGUGGUAACACUGAACAGAAUGAAUUUCCCCUAGUGUUAAACUCUGGUAACACUAUUCAGUGUUGAGCAGUGUUAAUUUUUUACUCAAAAUAGAGUUAAUUUAACUCUGAAAAUUUAACACUAUGACAAGAGUCAAUUUAUCACCAAUUCUGAGUGGGACCAAAUACACUCGAGUGUUAAAUUCAACUCUUAUAGAGUUGAUUUAACACUGCAAAAUUUACUGUGCAGCGGGAUGUUAAAGG